UACGUAGGGUGCGAGCGUUGUCCGGAAUUGUUGGGCGUAAAGAGCUCGUAGGCGGUGUGUCACGUCGAUCGUGAAAACUUGGGGCUUAACCCUGAGCUUGCGGUCGAUACGGGCAUCACUGGAGUUCGGCAGGGGAGACUGGAAUUCCUGGUGUAGCGGUGAAAUGCGCAGAUAUCAGGAGGAACACCGGUGGCGAAGGCGGGUCUCUGGGCCGAUACUGACGCUGAGGAGCGAAAGCGUGGGGAGCGAACAGG
rnacentral:rRNA from 1 species